UCAAGGGUAUAAUCAUCAUCAGUAACUAACCCUAACU
rnacentral:sRNA from 1 species